ACAGAGGGCAGCCAAGUCGUGAGGCGGAGCUAAUCCCUUAAAGCCAUUCUCAGUUCGGAUUGUAGGCUGAAACUCGCCUACAUGAAGCUGGAGUUACUAGUAAUCGCAGAUCAGAAUGCUGCGGUGAAUGCGUUCCCGGGUCUUGUACACACCGCCCGUCACACCACGGAAGUUGGGGGCGCCCGAAGCCACUUAGCUAACCCUUUUGGGAAGCGAGUGUCGAAGGUGAAAUCAAUAACUGGGGUGAAGUCGUAACAAGGUACC
rnacentral:rRNA from 1 species